rnacentral:lncRNA from 1 species
GAGAGUCCUUAGGGUCAACCUAACCCCUCCUGUUUGAUAAAUUGGAAACAGAUGAGAUCCCCACCCUCAACCAUAUAUAUUCAUGUAUUUGAAAAUAUAACAAAUCAAAUGAAAUAUAGGGGAAGUCACUGGGGUCACCCCAUCCCCUCCUGUUUAAAAAAUUGACAACGGUUGAGAUCCCCACCCCUAAACCAUAUAUAUUCAUGUAUGGGAAAAUGAAAAAAAAAUCAAAUGAAAUAUAGGAGUAGUCCCUAGGGUCACCCCACCCC